rnacentral:lncRNA from 12 species
UGCAGGGACUGUGAGGCCUUUGGACACAAGGCAUCAAGCACCAGAUGCCCCAUAAAACACUGGGACAUGACCCUCGUUCCCGUGGCCUUGGGCUCCAGGAGACUGAAGGAGAAUGUGGAGCCGGGGAGUCCGUGGGACCAGCGGCACCAGGCUGGGCUAUUGGACCAGGCUGAGAGGGAGAAGGCAGAGAGAUGAAGGCAAGAAGCUGAGCAGAGGAAGGCCUUGCUCCACAGGUUCCCCAGGCGACCCCGGGAGGGGCAGAAGCGCACCUGGAAGGAAGACACGGAAUCUUGUGACUAUGUGAGGCAUCCACACAUGCCGAUGCACGUCUACACCACCAGGAGGACUUCUAUCGCUGAGCAUGCCCUGCUGAUGGAACCACGUGAAGACAACCCAGUCGAAGCAGACGUGCCCGUGGAUGCACAGCCAGGCCCGCAGCCCAGGAAGACACCUGCCAAGCAAGGGCCAAGCAAGGGCCCCCAGCCCACACCUGCCACACCUCACCUGGAGAUGCUGCAGCCAUGCACCGAGCCCCCACGGCCGCACUCUGCGCGGGCCCCCACUCAGCCCCUGAGAAUGGUCUUCACCAGAUUGGACAGAAGCUGCUGGAGCUCCCGGUUCCUCGCAGCUCCCUCAUUCCUUCCUCCCGAGAAGCCAGGCCCUGCUCAGGGCCCUCCUGCCCCCCACCUGUCAGACAGAGCCUGUGUCUGU